rnacentral:lncRNA from 1 species
AUGGGAAUCCCUGGGCGGCCGGGACUAAAGGGGCAAUCUGGAGAGAAGGGUGCUCCAGGAGAAGCUGGCAUGUCCAUCAUCGGGCCCCGUGGCCCACCCGGACAGCCUGGAACAAGAGGUUUUCCUGGAUUCCCGGGCCCUAUUGGCUUGGAUGGCAAACCGGUAAGCAGAGAACUCCUCUGCAGGCUUCUGCCCUGCCCCAGUCCCACUGGGCUGGAACCUGGGUGUUACACCCUGUGUUUGAAGGGGAUUGUUUUGCAAUGCCAUGCACAUGCAUGGAUUAAAACAAAACGAGGAGGUUGGCAGGCAGCAGGAUGCCACAGAUGCCUUGGGGGAGAUGCAGGAGUCAGGAGAUGCUGGAAGGCAGAGUAUGGCCUGUUCCUUUCUAGGUAAAUCUAUAAACUAGCAGUUCAUGAGUGCAGCAGUCUGGCUGCUGUGGGGAAAGCCUCAGCAGGCACUCCCACCAGAAUCAGACAGGCAGAGCAGAUCCCUGAGGUGUCAGCCCUCUGCCUUAGCCAACAGCUGCUGUACCAAAAAGCUGCAGUGGAGGAGAGAAGGAUCCUAAAGACUCUGUGAGACCUCCGUGCUGUCCUUAGAGAUUUGCAGUAGAAACCCAAGUUCUUCCCAUCCUUCAGAGCUGGG